rnacentral:tRNA from 1 species
GCCCAGGUGGCGGAAUGGUAGACGCAAGGGACUUAAAAUCCCUCGAUCGCAAGAUCGUGCUGGUUCAAGUCCAGUCCUGGGCA